rnacentral:lncRNA from 1 species
AUGCUCAUAGGGACACCGGGACAGGGAGUUUGGGGGACCAAGGGCUGUGGACCCCGCGAAGAGCAAGGAUGCCCCAGCAUGGGUGGAGGCCCAGGGCCUUCAUUCACCCACCCAGCUGAAGAGUCCUUUGCCGCCAGUGGAAUUCCUAAGGCCUCCUGCUGUUCUGCCUCGAUGGACAGAUGGACCCUGAUGGGCCACCUGCUCUCCCCUUCCUGCACCCUACCAGGGCACUCUCAGGAGGAGCUGCGCACAUGUACUGUUCACCCCGGUUUUGAGGAAGCUGGAGGUAACUUUCACAGGAAGGUUGGCAAUCCCCAGUGUGGACAAUAUCCAUCCGCCUAUGGGGCUGAGGGCAGGGGAAGGGGAACCUCCACUUGCUAAAAGCCCAAAAGAAUACUGCCGAAGGAGGCCUAGUGGAUUGACAGUAAAUGUCAACUCAAAAAACAAAUAUUGAAAAUUCAACUGCAGAGUAUAUUGAAAUCCGACUCAAAAAAAAAAAAAAACCUUGAAAAAAAGAUUUGCCAACACACAUGGCAAAGGGUGAGUUUCCUUAAACGCUUCUGCAGUGAGAGAAAAAUCAACCACCCAAGGGAAAACGGACCAACAACAGGCCUUUGCAGAAAGGAACCGCAAAUGGCUUCUGAAGAAAUGAGAUGUGCAGCCUUCUUCAUCGUGACAGAAAUGUAGAGGAGAAAAAUGACAUCUUCGUUUAAAUUGAUCGAGAAACAUCUUCAAGAUGUGCGCCCCAGUGGGAGGAAAAGACUGCAGGGAGGUAGGUGUUGGCCUCCCGGUGGGGUGGAAGCCAGGGCCCACGUGAUUUCCGGGAAUGGUCAGACCUGGUGAGUUCAUCUGUUUGCGCCAGGGGCAAAUGCCUGGGGUGGGCCUCCAGCCAGUUUCGAUGCAAGUCGGGUCCAUCACUUCCCAGCCGCCUGACUGCAGGCACCUGAUAUUCUCUGAGCCUCAGUUUUCUCAUCUGUAAACUGGGGUCAUGAUGCACUGCCAGGGAAGAUUCAGACUUGGGGAGGGGUGGG